CACGGCUUAACUGUGAGCGUGCGGGCGAUACGGGCAGACUUGAGUACUGCAGGGGAGACUGGAAUUCCUGGUGUAGCGGUGGAAUGCGCAGAUAUCAGGAGGAACACCGGUGGCGAAGGCGGGUCUCUGGGCAGUAACUGACGCUGAGGAGCGAAAGCGUGGGGAGCGAACAGGAUUAGAUACCCUGGUAGUCCACGCCGUAAACGGUGGGUACUAGGUGUGGGUUUCCUUCCUUGGGAUCCGUGCCGUAGCUAACGCAUUAAGUACCCCGCCUGGGGAGUACGGCCGCAAGGCUAAAACUCAAAGAAAUUGACGGGGGCCCGCACAAGCGGCGGAGCAUGUGGAUUAAUUCGAUGCAACGCGAAGAACCUUACCUGGGUUUGACAUGCACAGGACGCCGGCAGAGAUGUCGGUUCCCUUGUGGCCUGUGUGCAGGUGGUGCAUGGCUGCCGUCAGCUCGUGUCGUGAGAUGUUGGGUUAAGUCCCGCAACGAGCGCAACCCUUGCCUCAUGUUGCCAGCGGGUAAUGCCGGGGACUCGUGAGAGACUGCCGGGGUCAACUCGGAGGAAGGUGGGGAUGACGUCAAGUCAUCAUGCCCCUUAUGUCCAGGGCUUCACACAUGCUACAAUGGCCGGUACAAAGGGCUGCGAUGCCGCGAGGUUAAGCGAAUCCUUUUAAAGCCGGUCUCAGUUCGGAUCGGGGUCUGCAACUCGACCCCGUGAAGUCGGAGUCGC
rnacentral:rRNA from 1 species